UUCUUUUGGCAGUGUGGGCAGGUGCCAAGUCCUGCUGGAUAAUAAAGUCAGAAUCUUCUGAUGUGUUUUGUUCAGGAGCGGCUUGAUAAGAGAAAUUCGACAUUUAAAGUCCAUGUCCAGGAUCCGUCUGUGUGUGGUGGCUCUCGAAGCUCUAACUCCAGCCUCACUCCUUGUGAAGCUCCCCCAUAUUUUUUAAUAGAGUUUUCCUGAUGACCCUCUCCAGGGUGCAGUCAUCCCUGCUGGUGUUGCCACCUUUUUCUUUUCCCUUCCACUCAACUUUUUAUUGAUGUGCUUUGAUGCAGCACUUUGAGAGCAUCCAACUUCUUUUGCAAUUACCUCUUUGAGCUUCCGCUCCUUGUGGAGGGUGUCAUUGAUGGUUUUCUGCACAACUGUCAGCCACACAAAUGCACCCUUCAUCCAUCCUGACUGCAGCAUUGGACAUCCAUCUUCUAAAGCUGUAGUCCCAUGCUCAUGUCUCUGUCACAGCUGAUUGACUGCCACUCACAGCUGACUGGACCUCACAGCUUUCUCUUUUGUCUCUGUGACUAACUUAACCCUGCCUAGUAUCUCUCUGCAUGAGCACAUCCAUGAAUAUUGAUGAACAGAGGACCCACAUGUUGAAAUGGAGGUAAAGAAAGG